GAUGAACGCUGGCGGCGUGCCUAAUACAUGCAAGUCGAGCGAACGGACGAGAAGCUUGCUUAUCUGAUGUUAGCGGCGGACGGGUGAGUAACACGUGGAUAACCUACCUAUAAGACUGGGAUAACUUCGGGAAACCGGAGCUAAUACCGGAUAAUAUUUUGAACCGCAUGGUUCAAAAGUGAAAGACGGUCUUGCUGUCACUUAUAGAUGGAUCCGCGCUGCAUUAGCUAGUUGGUAAGGUAACGGCUUACCAAGGCAACGAUGCAUAGCCGACCUGAGAGGGUGAUCGGCCACACUGGAACUGAGACACGGUCCAGACUCCUACGGGAGGCAGCAGUAGGGAAUCUUCCGCAAAGGGCGAAAGCCUGACGGAGCAACGCCGCGUGAGUGAUGAAGGUCUUCGGAUCGUAAAACUCUGUUAUUAGGGAAGAACAUAUGUGUAAGUAACUGUGCACAUCUUGACGGUACCUAAUCAGAAAGCCACGGCUAACUACGUG
rnacentral:rRNA from 1 species